rnacentral:lncRNA from 1 species
CCCAGUUGCAUCAAGUCGAAGAAGGAUGAGGUUGUUACAAGGGGACCCGCGAGUCUAACAACCUCGAUCAUCGUCUUUCUCAAAACAGAGAGUUACAGAGAGAGAAGAAGUUACAGAGAGAGAGAGAUACAGAGAUAGAGAGAAAGUAUCAAGGCCGAGGAGAAAGCUUGAUCAAGAUAGAGAGAUCCGGAAGCUGAUCGCAGCUCUUGAGGUCACGGAGCUUUCUCCAGAUCAUUCUGCGUGUCUUCGUCGUUAUCGGAGGAUUCGGAGGCUGAUAGUGAGUCGUCUUCUUCGCAGUUACUUUGGUACUCUUCUCCGAACAGUUCUCGGUAAAUCUCUUUGUAAUACCUGCACAAAGAAGAUAGAUCGGUUGAGAUCUUGAAGCUAUUGUAUCUCAUUGAUCAGUAGUGAAGUGCAUGAGAGUUUUGUUCUCUCCCCAGUCAGUAGGAAACGAAGACUGGGUAAACAAUUGCUUGUGUUGUUUGCGUUGAUUCGAUUAACAGGUUCAUCACAAGUUAAGGUCAAGAUUGAAUUGAUAAUCAACUAGGUGAACUGGAUCAAGAUCGGAAUCGAACCUAGUCUGAUACCUUAACAAGUGGUAUCAGAGCCAGGUUCUCUGGUAUAGAGAACUAGGUUCACGCAGCGGUGAAGCUGUGAUUCAAGCGAAGGUUGGUUGCUGUGGGAUUUGGUGUGUGUGAGAAGUGUGACGGUUUGCAGAGGCUAUCAUGGAAUCGGUUCACGGGAAGUUUGAGAUGGAGAAGUUUGAUGGAUCAGGUGACUUCGGUAUGUGGAAGUUCAAGAUGCAAAUGCAGCUGGAGCUGCAAGGGCUGGGACACAUCUUGACUGAAGCAGCUAGUUCUACAAAAGUAGAAACUACUGAUGAUAGUGACGAUGUCACUGAUAAGGAAGUUAAAGUCGAUCCUCUGGCUAAAGAAAAGGAUACUCGAGCCAGAAACCUUAUCUGCUCAAGCCUCACCAACAUGGUACUAAGAAAAGUAAUGAGAGAAGCAACCGCUAUGGGGGUGUGGAGAGCACUUGAAGCAGAUUAUCAGACAAAGACCUUGCCUAACAGGAUCUACUUGAAGCAAAGUUUUGCGAGCUACAGGAUGGUUGAAAGUAAGAGCAUUGAAGAGAAUCUCGAUGUUUUCUUGAAACUGGUGGAUGAUCUAGCGAGCCUAAACAUUCAAGUCUCUGACGAAGAUCAAGCCAUUCAGAUUCUAACUAGUCUGCCACCACAGUAUGAUUCUCUUGUUCACACUCUGAAGUAUGGAAAUGGCAAAGAAACAUUGACGAUAAAAGAAGUUACUACGUCAGCUUAUGCAAAGGAAGCGGAGUUGAAAGAGAAAGGCUUAUUAAAACGUUCUAAGACUGAUGCAGAAGGACUUGUAGUUUCCAGAGGAAGAACCGACAAGAGAUCAGGAAAAGGUGGGAGGUUUAGAUCAAAAAGUAAAGAUUUUAGAUCAAAGUCUAAAGGCAAAGGCCAACAGAAGACUAGAGAGUGUUGGAUCUGUGGCAAAGAAGGUCAUUUCAAAAGAGAAUGCCCUGAGAGAAAAGAUCAGAGAGCUCAGAAUGCAGCAAAUGUGGCUCAGGACAAAGAGUAUCCUAUGGUUCUCACUGCAAGUGUCCAUGACACUAAGUCUGAGUGGAUUCUAGACUCGGGAUGUACUUUUCACAUCACACCAAAUCGAGAAGUGUUGUUUGACUUUGUCGAAGAAAAUGGAGGCAGAGUGUUAAUGGGUAACAAUACGUUCAGUGAAGUUCAUGGGUAUGGGAAGCUGAAGAUUGUAAACCCAGACAAGUCUACGGUGAUUCUAACUGAAGUUAGAUACAUGCCUACCAUGGGGCGAAACCUAAUAUCGUAUGGUCAGCUUGAGAAGUGUGGCUGUACCUAUAGGGGAGAAGGCUUUAAAGUUGUGUUCUUUAAAGAUGGAAAGCGAGUUCUUUCAGGAAGUUACAAAGACGGGCUCUAUUAUCUUGACGGUACAGUUGAUAAGGCUGAAGCAAAUGUAUCAAGGACAGAAGAGAAUCUGACAAAUCUUUGGCAUUCAAGAUUGGGACAUAUGAGCUUAAAGAAUAUGAAUUUUCUGGUGAAGAAUGGGUAUUUGAAAGAAAAGGAGGUUCACACAUUGGAUUUCUGUGAGAACUGUGUUCUUGGGAAAACUCAUAAGUUACCAUUUCCUACAGCCAAACACGCUACAACUGAGACGCUGGCAUAUGUUCAUAGUGAUCUGUGGGGUUCAGUGUCUAAUACCGAAAGUCUAUCAGGUUGCAAGUACUUCCUAACUUUGAUAGAUGAUUUCUCGAAGAAAGUUUGGAUCAGGUUCUUAAGAACUAAGGAUGAGACGUAUGAGAAUAUUUCAGAGUGGAAGAAGCUUGUUGAGACUCAGACAGGAAGGAAGGUUAAGUGUUUGCGCACAGAUAACGGCCUUGAGUUCUGCAACAAUCUGAUGGAUACUAUGUGUAAAGAAGCGGGGAUUAAGAGACAUCGAACGUGCGCAUACACUCCACAACAAAAUGGAGUUGCAGAAAGAAUGAACAGGACAAUAGCAGAUAAGAUUCGUUGUAUGCUAGCAGAAUCAGGACUUGAGAAGAAGUUUUGGGCAGAAGCAGCUGCUACGGCAGUUUACUUGAUAAACCGUACUCCUAGUGCUUCAAUUGAGUUUAAAAUACCCGAAGAAGUGUGGUCUGGGGUUAAGGUUGAGUUUAGUCAUCUCAAGAGGUUUGGUUGCGUGGCCUACGUUCACACCGUACAAGAUAAGAUAAGUCCAAGAGCUUUGAAAGGCAUUUUCAUGGGUUACCCUCAAGGCACAAAAGGGUAUCGAGUGUGGCUAAUAGAGGAAGGAAAGUCUACCAUCAGCAGAAAUGUUGUGUUUGACGAGAAGACUUUGUAUAAAGAAUAUAAAGGAAAGGGGACUGCAAGCGACCCCAAGGCAAGAAAGGUAACCUUCAAAGCUGAUUUGAUUCAAGGUCCUACUCAGAAAGGUUCUACCUUUAAGGUGGGGUCAUCUUCAGAAUCAGGGAACACCGGUGAAGGUGGAGUUACUUCAGGUCAGAGAAGAAACUCAGAUUCAGAAGAAAGUGAAGAAGAAUCAGAAGGUCAGGAGGAAUCGUUAGAUGACUACUUGCUUGCUAGAGACCGUGUAAGGAGACAGACUAAGCCUCCGGCUAUGUUUGAGAGUGGAGACUUCGUGGCUUAUGCGUUAACAUGCGCGGAUGACAUUGUGACGAGUGAGCCUAAGUCAUUAGCUGAAGCUAAACGAAGCAAAGACUGGGAUAAGUGGAAUGCUUCUAUGAAAGAAGAAAAGGCUUCUUUAGACAAGAAUCACACUUGGGAUAUCGUUGAUAGACCUCUUAGACAAAGAGUUAUUGGGUGCAAGUGGAUUCAUAAACUAAAGGAAGGUAUUCCAGGGGUUGAAGAUCCUAGAUACAAGUCUAGAUUGGUGGCUAAAGGUUUUACUCAGGUGGAAGGGGUUGACUACAAUGAGAUCUUUGCGCCUGUGGUCAAGCAUGUGUCUAUAAGGAUCAUACUGUCCUUUGUGGUAAACGUUGAUGCUGAGCUAGAGCAAAUGGAUGUCAAAACGGCAUUUCUCCAUGGAAACCUAGAUGAAACAAUCUAUAUGGAACAACCAGAAGGGUUUGUGAAGAAAGGAGAUGAAGGAAAAGUGUGCCUUCUAAGGAAGUCCCUAUACGGGUUAAAGCAAUCUCCUAGACAAUGGAACUUAAGGUUUGAUUCAUUCAUCAAGACGCUUGGGUUUAUAAGGUGUGUUAAAGACCAUUGCGUGUACAUGAAGAAGUUGAAGACAGGAGAUUGCAUCUAUCUACUGUUAUACGUGGAUGAUAUGUUGAUUGCUGCUAAAACCAAGAAGGAUAUUCAGGUUUUAAAGAAGAGUUUGAGCACUGAAUUUGAAAUGAAAGAUCUUGGAGCGGCCUCAAGGAUUCUAGGAAUGGACAUUGUAAGGGACAGGGAGAAGGGGUUACUUAAGCUGACACAGAAUAGGUACAUUGGUCAGGUGCUUAAAACAUUCGGAAUGGAGUUUUGUAAACCGGUGAUCACUCCCACAAACUCUCAGUUUAAACUAAAGAGUUUAACAGAUAAGGAGUGGCUUAUCGAGAUGAAAGUUAUGGAUUCAGUUCCUUACGCGAGUGCAGUUGGGAGUUUGAUGUAUGCUAUGGUUGGUUCUAGGCCUGAUCUUGCUUUCGCAGUUGGUUUAGUCAGCAGGUUUAUGUCUAAACCGAGCAGAGAACAUUGGGAAGCCGUGAAGUGGAUACUAAGAUAUCUACAAGGAGCUAAAGAUGUUUGUCUAACGUUUAAAAGAGCGGGGAGUUUUGAUGUUGAAGGCUUUUGUGAUUCUGAUUACUCUACUGAUCUCGACAAGCGAAGAUCAGUCACUGGUUACGUGUUUAAAGUGGGUGGCAACACUGUGAGUUGGAGAUCUACAUUACAGCAUGUAGUGGCUUUGUCAACUACAGAAGCUGAGUAUAUGGCUUUGUCAGAGGCUACAAAGGAGGGUUUGUGGUUAAGGGAAUUCUGCGAUGAGUUAGGAUUUGAUUCAGAGUUUUUCAACCUACAUUGUGAUUCUCAAAGUGCAAUUUGCCUAGCUAAAAACCCGGUUCAUCAUGAUCGAACUAAACACAUUGCCAGGAAGAUUCACUUUAUCAGAGACAUUAUUGAGAUGGGUUUAGUAAAGGUCCUAAAGAUUCACACUAGUCUAAAUCCUGCAGACAUGUUGACAAAGACGUUACCUGGAAGUGCGUUCGAGAAGUGCCUCGAAACGCUGGGGGUCAUUGCCUGAGCGACUCGAAAUGUACUCCGAGAUGGCACUGUUGUUUGGUCAUCUCAACAAGGUGGAGUACAUGUUACAACAGAGAGCAAACUUUGUUAGUGGUUUGUUCUUGGUCAAACAAUGGAGUUAACUAACGGAAAAGUUUUAGAAAAGGAUUGCUGAGGUACUUACGCAGGAGUUGCGGGUUUGUCGCCGAAAACGUUCAGGUGCUGGUUAACUGUAAAAGAUGGUUCAGUUGAGGUUUCUGAGACUAAAGAGAGUACUUGAGUGUCAGAGACUUACAGUAUUCAAGGUUGGACAGUCUUCGGAGUUGAAGGUCAGCAGGCUCAGUUGGAUUAGAAGUCGGUUCUGGCUCAGGGUCUUGUGGUAUUGGAACAGGAACAGAGUCGGGGAUUUUGAAAUCAGCUGGGAGAGUAAGCGUUGGAGAGCUGACGAGUUCAGGGUUGUAAAACAGAGGGUCAGGACUGGUUACAGGUUCCACGAGGAUGUGGAAAGGGUCUUCUUCGGUUUUGGGGUAGCUGUUUGAACCUGAUUGACUGGAUUGAGAAUUCUCAGUCAUGGUUAGGGUUUGGUCUCGACGGGAUGAAGGUUGAGUUACGGCGAAGUUGUGUUCAGCCCUAAUCGACAAAGGUGGAGAUUUGUGGAGUAUUGUCGUUUAGGUGAUGGGCCGCAAAUGGGCUUAAGUAAAAAACGUUAUUGAAACGUUGGCCCAGUUGCAUCAAGUCGAAGAAGGAUGAGGUUGUUACAAGGGGACCCGCGAGUCUAACAACCUCGAUCAUCGUCUUUCUCAAAACAGAGAGUUACAGAGAGAGAAGAAGUUACAGAGAGAGAGAGAUACAGAGAUAGAGAGAAAGUAUCAAGGCGGAGGAGAAAGCUUGAUCAAGAUAGAGAGAUCCGGAAGCUGAUCGCAGCUCUUGAGGUCACGGAGCUUUCUCCAGAUCAUUCUGCGUGUCUUCGUCGUUAUCGGAGGAUUCGGAGGCUGAUAGUGAGUCGUCUUCUUCGCAGUUACUUUGGUACUCUUCUCCGAACAGUUCUCGGUAAAUCUCUUUGUAAUACCUGCACAAAGAAGAUAGAUCGGUUGAGAUCUUGAAGCUAUUGUAUCUCAUUGAUCAGUAGUGAAGUGCAUGAGAGUUUUGUUCUCUCCCCAGUCAGUAGGAAACGAAGACUGGGUAAACAAUUGCUUGUGUUGUUUGCGUUGAUUCGAUUAACAGGUUCAUCACAAGUUAAGGUCAAGAUUGAAUUGAUAAUCAACUAGGUGAACUGGAUCAAGAUCGGAAUCGAACCUAGUCUGAUACCUUAACA